GGCCUUAGAAAAUUGUUGAUUUAUUUUAUAUAUUUUAUACAUUUGUAUAACAUAUUUUAGUUUUUAAGUUUAAUUAUAAAAUUAUUGUGAUGAGUUAUCAAAAUUAGAUAUACAAAACAGAAGAAAGUAGACAAAUUUGUAGAUUUGUAAUAAUAUUAUUGCUUUAUUUAACAUAUAUAGACAAUUUUAGAUCGAUUUUAACCAAUUUUAACUGAUUUAAAACAGUUUAAACCAAUUUGAAUCAUAUAAAUCGGUAUAAAUCGGAUUUUAAGAAAAUCGUUUCGGAUAGGACCGAGUUGCUGCCUAGGCGGGGGCCUAGGCGCCUCCUAGACCGAUUUUUAGAACCCUGGUUAGUAUUUAUCCACAUUUACUUUUAAACAGAGCUACUUCUUCUUUUUUUUUUUGGUCAAAAACAAAGCUACUUCUAUUGUUAUAUAACCAUACGUUAGUUAUUAUCAUCGGAAAUAUUAAGCUACAAAAUGGAAGGCAUUAAAAAAUAGCUAAGUGAGAAGCCUUCGCGACAUGUAGUUGAAUACCUUCACUUGUUUUCUUUCAUUCAAGCAUAUAAAUUAAUUCAGUUUUUUUAAGCAUGUAAAUUAACUUUUUAAUGAUUAGAAGGUCUUAAACCGAGCCUUGUUUUACUUUGUUUUGGGGGUAAAUAACAUCUUCUUUUUUUCAUGUGCUGCCGUUUGUGGUUGGCUUGAUUAAGGUUGAAAAGGGUUUUGCACAAUUCGUUGUUUUAUCCCAUUCAGAGCCAAAAGGGGGCGCGGCUAUGGGAGGAUUACCGACGCUAUUUUGUUUAUCGUAAAAAACGUGGAUAAGUGAAGACAAAUAGUAAUUCAAGAAAGUGAUGAUUUAAGUAGCCGAGGAAGGCACUUUGCUGAUUAGUCCACAUAUAAUUGAUUGCCUCAUUUGUUUUGUGGUUUGAUCCUCAUCCUACAGUAUUGGUAAGGACUAUUGCUAAUCCUAUGUCAAAGUAGUAAAUAUAGUAUCAAUCCAAUCUUAAAUGAUCAUGAAACAGAAAAAAUGCAAGUAAUGCUUAAUCUGCUUAAUCUAAGUGCAAUCAAAAUAGUUAAAUGACUUUAAUUAAAAAAACCAAACAAACAAGAGCAAUAUCUUAAGCUUUCAAUCAAAUGAUAAGGUAGAAUUCAUGGGCUUAAGGCAAUUGAUCCAAGGUAAUUAGUUUUCAAGUCAAAGUGUUAACUUUAAGCAUCACAAGUUUCUAUAUGUCUAGAACACUAAUGAAGAUCAAUCCUUUCUCAAGGUAGAGAUCCCUAUGCAAUCAUGAAGUAAACAUCAAUUCCCAUUAGUUUAAAUCAUUCAAAUUUGUUAACCAUCUAGCAAUCCUAACAUCAAAUCUCUUUGGUUAUACAAGCUAGAGCAAUAUUAAAUUCAGAAAAACAUUUUAACAAAUACUUUCUGGAUAUAAACUAUCUUAAUAUCAUGAUGAGAGUGAUCAAGUCAAAUCAAGCAUUAAGGACACUUAAAAUGCAUAGAAACAUGUAUAUCUAACAAUAAACACCUUGACUCUUCACUAAUCACCAUAGAUCUACCUAACCCAUGGAUUCAAAAGUAGUCUACUCACUAAUAGUAAUGAAUAACCCAAAAACCAUAUAUGAUUGAAGGUUAAUCAUGAUUAGUGAUCAAGAUAAUCCAAUGAACACAAGAAAUAAAAAUGAAUAAAAAUAAAGAUUGAAUCUUUCACCAAAAUAGGUUGUGUUAGAGAUAAAACAAGAUAAGUCCACAUUUUUAGGUCUAAAACGUAUUUAUAGGACUUCUAAAAACCUAGUGAGUCUAAUCAACAAGUCUGAAAAGGCCCAACAAAACAUGAAAAUUCGACCAAGUGAGGAUUUGCACGCGGGCUGGUGAGGUCGCUCCGGCAUGUCGCUCUGGUCUCACAGCAGCUUCUCCUCCCUGCUCCGGAAGGUUUCGCUCCACUUGCUCGAUGCUCCAAAUAUUACGCACGGUUGAUGCACUUCGCUCCACCUCGUUGCUCUGGCAUUUUAUCGAUAUUCCGAAUGUAGCGCACGGCUGAUGCACCUCGCUCCACUUCAUCGCUCUGGCUCUCGAAACUUGUCGACGAUGGUGUGUAGUUGAAUACCUUCACUUGUUUUCUUUCAUUCAAGCAUAUAAAUUAAUUCAGUUUUUUUAAGCAUGUAAAUUAACUUUUUAAUGAUUAGAAGGUCUUAAACCGAGCCUUGUUUUACUUUGUUUUGGGGGUAAAUAACAUCUUCUUUUUUUCAUGUGCUGCCGUUUGUGGUUGGCUUGAUUAAGGUUGAAAAGGGUUUUGCACAAUUCGUUGUUUUAUCCCAUUCAGAGCCAAAAGGGGGCGCGGCUAUGGGA
rnacentral:lncRNA from 1 species